GCUGGCUGUUGCUCUCCCAACCUGCUAUGGCAGGAGGGAUUGCGGCCCAAGCUCAAGCUUGAAUAAAGACCCUUGUGUGUUUUGCAUCAAAGUUGUGUUCCUGUCUCUUGGGGGUCUCAUGACCUACACAUAACAUUUAGGAGCUCAUCCUGGAUCCCCUAGAUCUCCAGGACCCCGACACGGAGGGUCUUAUGCCGGCCAGUAGGGGCAAACAGUCUCUCAUCCUCUGUGCCUGAUGGCUGGACCGCCUCUGUUCAUGAUGCCAUAAGACCAUAGGAGCCAGAGACAACUGCCUAGGUGGUGGAUUGACUGGUCAUCUCUGUCAUUUUGAUUGGUACAUAGAUUGGUACAUUUAUUUAGCUUAUAAUUUAUCCUUCUCAAGUCUCUGAUCACAUUGACGACUAAGCUAAGCUAAUAGUUGCUUUGCAGCUAAAGAGCAGACAUUUAGAUCCACUGUUACUUCAUUGGUCAACUUAUUAGCUAGUUAGAACUACUAGGUACUAGAUCUCUUAUUUAGAAAGGCAAAGAGCUUUGCCUUGCUCACAAGCUUCAUGUUAAUUGCCUGUGACUUAUGGCGAAUAACUGGAUAGAAAGAUGGAUAGAAAGUUUAUAUAAGGUCUGAGGAUAUAAAAGUUUAAGUUGUAAAGAUCUAAAAAAUUGGAGUCUAAGUCUAAAUAGAUAUUUUAAGAUAUAUGAAUAUAAAUUAUAAUGAUAUAAAAAUAAUUUAAGGCAUAUUAAAAUAGAAGAUAGUUCAGAUUUCUCCCCCUUCUAUGCUAUUGUUAUACUUAUAUUGUUAUAGGAUUUCAGAAGUUCAGAGUUUUGACAUUGAUCAAUAGAGUUCUGAUAAGCUGAUGGGGCAUUGACUGCUUAUUAUCCAGUCACAAGCUUGAGAUUUUAAUUCCCCUUUGGUUGUCUUCUGGAGACAGACUUAAAGGUGCUUCUCAUUAUGCUAAAAAUAUUUGUCUAAUGUGCUUAUCUGACCCAAAAGCCAUAGCUUUUACUAGAUCUUAAUGCCAUGAGUCUACUUCUGCUGUCUUGCAGACACCUGUUACCUGCUUUUUCUAAAGUAUGGAUCUCAAUACAAUGGUGAUGCUAAUAUACUUCCUUUUGUAAACUAAAAUUCAUGUGAGUUUCAGAAAACCAAAAAUGUCAGAAGACCUGGAUCUGGGCUGGAGAGAUGGCUCAGCCAUUAAAGGCUGGGCUUACAACCAAAAUAUAAGAGUUUGGUUCCCAGCACCCACGGCUAUCUCUCCAGCCAUAAAAGAAGAGGAGGAGGAGGAGGAGGAAGAGGAGGAGAUGAUGACGAUGACGAUGAUGAUGACCUGGAUCUGCCAUAGGUCAAACAGACCCCAGAUGAAGUUUUCCCUUUGUCCUGCGAUUCCUCUCUUUCCCUAAUUACUAGACAAAUUUUAACUUCUGUCUCUAGUUUGAAUUUGUCUCAGCAGAUUUUCACCUGGUUGACAGAUUCCAUUCAGGAAUCAGCUAUGGACUGCAAACUGAAAUCUGGACUUGCUGAAAGCUGUAAACCAGUCUAGCCGAUGUGAUGGUCCCUGUCUCUUCAACUGGAUCACUAAUUAGACGGUGCCCUUUUGCCUAGCCUUUGACUAGCCUUUCAGCCUUCCCGGGGUCCUCAAUAUCUCUGCCCCAAAGUCAGCCUGAAGAAAUUGCAGAAGAGAGCGAUUCAUCAUCCUUUACCCUACCUUACAGGCUGAGAUGCUGAGUCAAAAGGGGCCCCCUGACAUGAGCCAUUACCUUGGGGAUCUGCUUAGCUGGAGCAGGAACUGGUAUUUCAGCGCUGGAUGUAGAAAGCCGGAAUCAUAACAGCUUAAAGGCAGAGACUGAUAAAGACAUUCAAUGCCUGGAGAACUCAGUCACCUACUUAGAGAGAAAGGUGGUUUUUAUGUAAACCACUCAGGGAGGAUUAGGAACUCCUUAGCAAAAACAACAAAAAGCCUGGAGAGAUACUGGAAAGAGAGGAUCCAGAGGAUGGUUUAAAUCCUGGUAAAAUAGUUCUCCUUGGCUAAGGUUAGAGAAAACCUGGCUAAACAUGAAAAGAUUCAAAGCUGGUUUGAAUCUUGGUUUAGUGCUUCUCCGUGGUUUACUAUUUUGUUCUCUGACUUAACAGAACCUUUGCUGAUAUUGCUUGUGCUUACCCUCAGCCCCUGCAUAUUAAAUAGUUUGAUUGCCUUCGUUAGACAGA